AUGAACGCUGGCGGCGUGCCUAAUACAUGCAAGUCGAGCGAACGGACGAGAAGCUUGCUUUUCUGAUGUUAGCGGCGGACGGGUGAGUAACACGUGGAUAACCUACCUAUAAGACUGGGAUAACUUCGGGAAACCGGAGCUAAUACCGGAUAAUAUUUUGAACCGCAUGGUUCAAAAGUGAAAGACGGUCUUGCUGUCACUUAUAGAUGGAUCCGCGCUGCAUUAGCUAGUUGGUAAGGUAACGGCUUACCAAGGCAACGAUGCAUAGCCGACCUGAGAGGGUGAUUGGGCACACUGGCACUGAGGCACGGUCCAGACUCCUACGGGGGGCAGCAGUAGGGAAUCUUACGCAAUGGGCGAGAGCCUGACGGAGCAACGCCGCGUGAGUGAUGAAGGUCUUCGGAUCGUAAAACUCUGUUAUUAGGGAAGAACAUAUGUGUAAGUAACUGUGCAGAUCUUGACGGUACCUAAUCAGAAAGCCACGGCUAACUACGUG
rnacentral:rRNA from 1 species